rnacentral:rRNA from 1 species
AGAGUUUGAUCAUGGCUCAGAACGAACGCUGGCGGCGUGCUUAAGACAUGCAAGUCGAACGGUAAGGCCCCUUCGGGGGUACACGAGUGGCGCACGGGUGAGUAACGCGUGGGUAAUCUACCCUCGGGUCUGGGACAACUCCGGGAAACUGGAGCUAAUACCGGAUAAGACCACGAGGUCUUCGGACUUCGCGGAAAAAGGUGGCCUCUUCUUGAAAGCUAUCGCCUGUUGAUGAGCCCGCGUCCCAUUAGUUUGUUGGUGAGGUAACGGCUCACCAAGGCGACGAUGGGUAGCUGGUCUGAGAGGAUGAUCAGCCACACUGGAACUGAGACACGGUCCAGACUCCUACGGGAGGCAGCAGUCGGGAAUCUUGUGCAAUGGGGGAAACCCCGACACAGCAACGCCGCGUGAGGGAUGAAGGCCUUAGGGUCGUAAACCUCUGUCGGGAGGGAAGAAAGCUUCGAGGGCGAAUAAUCCUCGGAGUUGACGGUACCUCCAAAGGAAGCGCCGGCUAACUCCGUGCCAGCAGCCGCGGUAAUACGGAGGGCGCAAGCGUUGUUCGGAAUCAUUGGGCGUAAAGCGCGUGUAGGCGGCUUGGCAAGUCGGACGUGAAAGCCCGGGGCUCAACCCCGGAACGGCGCCCGAAACUGCCUGGCUAGAGUCCCGGAGAGGAGGGCGGAAUUCCCGGUGUAGAGGUGAAAUUCGUAGAUAUCGGGAGGAACACCAGCGGCGAAGGCGGCCCUCUGGACGGUGACUGACGCUGAGACGCGAAAGCGUGGGGGAGCAAACAGGAUUAGAUACCCUGGUAGUCCACGCCGUAAACGUUGGGUGCU